CUAGGCAUCUCUUAAUUCCAACUAGCAUUGAAAGUGACUACUCUCUUUUGGAACUUCGGGAACUAGCAACGUCGAUACUUGUGCUUAAUCAAUAUUGACUAAAUCCUCUCUCAAUCUUGUCACCUCGGCAUUCAAGGCCUCAAUUUCAGCCUUUAACCACUCCAUUUCACAUCUGUAUUGAUCACUCGAUACCAAUUUUUUUUACGCCAAUAACUUGGCCUUUUCUCAUUCCAUUACCAACUGACCCUUUGCUUUUUCCAGUUCCAAAAUUGAAUGACUACAAGCUUGGAAUAGUUCUUGCCUGUGGAUCUCCACCAUGCAUUCUCUUUCUUUGUCCCAAGCUUCCU
rnacentral:lncRNA from 1 species